rnacentral:rRNA from 1 species
CCCGGUUGAUCCUGCCGGAGGCUACCGCUAUUGGAGUUCGAUUAAGCCAUGCGAGUCGCGAGUCUUAGGGACUCGGCGUACCGCUCAGUAACACGUGGGUAACCUGCCCUAUGCUGGGGGAUAACCUCGGGAAACUGAGAAUAAUACCCCAUAGUUCACCACGCCUGGAACGGUGGGUGGACCAAAGCUCCGGCGGCAUAGGAUGGGCCUGCGGCGUAUCAGGUUGUAGGGGGUGUAAUGUACCCUCUAGCCCUCUACGCGUACGGGUGUUGAGAGACAUCGCCCGGAGAUGGAUUCUGAGACACGAAUCCAGACCCUACGGGGUGCAGCAGGCGCGAAAACUUGGCAAUGCGAGAAAUCGUGACCAGGGAACUCCAAGUGGCUGGGGUAAGACCCAGUCUUUUCUUGACUCUUCAAAGGUCUUGGAAUAAGAGGUGGGUAAGGACGGUGCCAGCCGCCGCGGUAAUACCGGCGCCUCAAGUGGUAGUCGAUUUUAUUGGGCCUAAAACGUCCGUAGCCUGUUUGGUACAUUCGUGGGUAAAUCAACCAGCUCAACUGGUUGAAUUCUGCGAGCACGGCCAGACUUGGGACCGGGAGAGGUGUGGGGUACUCUCAGGGUAGGGGUAAAAUCCUGUCAUCCUGAGAGGACCACCUGUUGCGAAGGCGCCACACUAGAACGGAUCCGACGGUCAGGGACGAAGCCUAGGGGCACGAACCGGAUUAGAUACCCGGGUAGUCCUAGGUGUAAACGCUGUGGACUUGAUGUUGGGGGCGCUCCGAGCGCACUCAGUGUCGAAGCGAAGGUGAUAAGUCCACUGCCUGGGGAGUACGGUCGCAAGGCUGAAACUUAAAGGAAUUGGCGGGGGAGCACCGCAACCUGAGGAUUGUGCGGUUUAAUUGGAUCAACGCCGGG